UACAGAGGGUGCGAACGUUGCUCGGAAUAACUGGGCGUAAAGCGCGUGUAGGCGGUCCGUUAAGUCGGCUGUGAAAUCCCAUAGCUUAACUAUGGAAGUGCAGUCGAUACUGGCGGACUUGAAUCCUGGAGAGGGUGGUAGAAUUCCUGGUGUAGAGGUGAAAUUCGUAGAUAUCAGGAGGAAUACCGGUGGCGAAGGCGACCACCUGGACGGGUAUUGACGCUGAGACGCGAAAGCGUGGGGAGCAAACAGG
rnacentral:rRNA from 1 species